CGCCAGACUCCUACGGGAGGCAGCAGUGGGGAAUAUUGCACAAUGGGGGAAACCCUGAUGCAGCGACGCCGCGUGAGCGAUGAAGUAUUUCGGUAUGUAAAGCUCUAUCAGCAGGGAAGAAAAUGACGGUACCUGACUAAGAAGCCCCGGCUAACUACGUGCCAGCAGCCGCGGUAAUACAUAGGGGGCAAGCGUUAUCCGGAUUUACUGGGUGUAAAGGGGGCGCAGACGGCGAUGCAAGCCAGGAGUGAAAGCCCGGGGCCCAACCCCGGGACUGCUCUUGGAACUGCGUGGCUGGAGUGCAGGAGGGGCAGGCGGAAUUCCUGGUGUAGCGGUGAAAUGCGUAGAUAUCAGGAGGAACACCGGUGGCGAAGGCGGCCUGCUGGACUGCAACUGACGUUGAGGCCCGAAAGCGUGGGGAGCAAACAGGAUUAGAUACCCUAGUA
rnacentral:rRNA from 1 species